CCUACGGGGGGCAGCAGUGGGGAAUAUUGCACAAUGGGGGAAACCCUGAUGCAGCGACGCCGCGUGAGUGAAGAAGUAAUUCGUUAUGUAAAGCUCUAUCAGCAGGGAAGAAAAUGACGGUACCUGAGUAAGAAGCCCCGGCUAACUACGUGCCAGCAGCCGCGGUAAUAAGUAGGGGGCAAGCGUUAUCCGGAUUUACUGGGUGUAAAGGGAGCGUAGACGGCAGUGCAAGUCUGGAGUGAAAGGCGGGGGCUCAACCCCCGGACUGCUCUGGAAACUGUACGGCUGGAGUGCAGGAGAGGUAAGCGGAAUUCCUAGUGUAGCGGUGAAAUGCGUAGAUAUUAGGAGGAACACCAGUGGCGAAGGCGGCUUACUGGACUGUAACUGACGUUGAGGCUCGAAAGCGUGGGGAGCAAACAGGAUUAGAUACCCUUGUAGUC
rnacentral:rRNA from 1 species